rnacentral:rRNA from 1 species
AUUGAACGCUGGCGGCAGGCCUAACACAUGCAAGUCGAGCGGAGCGGCGGACGGGUGAGUAAUGCCUAGGAAUCUGCCUGGUAGUGGGGGAUAACGUCCGGAAACGGGCGCUAAUACCGCAUACUAUCAGAUGAGCCUAGGGCGGAUUAGCUAGUUGGGGGGGUAAAGGCCUACCAAGGCGACGAUCCGUAACUGGUCUGAGAGGAUGAUCAGUCACACUGGAAACGAGACACGGUCCAGACGCCUACGGGAGGCAGAGGUGGGGAAUAUGGGACAAUGGGCGAAAGCCGGAUCCAGCCAUGCCGCGGGUGUGAAGAAGGUCUUCGGAGUGUAAAGCACUUUAAGUUGGGAGGCGUUACCUACAGAAUAAGCACCGGCUAACUUCGUGCCAGCCGCCGCGGUAAUUC